rnacentral:rRNA from 1 species
GACGAACGCUGGCGGCGUGCUUAACACAUGCAAGUCGAACGGAAAGGCCCUGCUUUUGUGGGGUGCUCGAGUGGCGAACGGGUGAGUAACACGUGAGUAACCUGCCCUUGACUUUGGGAUAACUUCAGGAAACUGGGGCUAAUACCGGAUAGGAGCUCCUGCUGCAUGGUGGGGGUUGGAAAGUUUCGGCGGUUGGGGAUGGACUCGCGGCUUAUCAGCUUGUUGGUGGGGUAGUGGCUUACCAAGGCUUUGACGGGUAGCCGGCCUGAGAGGGUGACCGGCAACAUGGGGACUGAGAUAGGGCCCAGACUCCUACGGGAGGCAGCAGUGGGGAAUAUUGCAGAAUGGGCGGAAGCCUGAUGCAGAAACGCCGGGUGCGGAAUGACGGCUUUCGGGUUGUAAACCGCUUUCGCCUGUGACGAAGCGUGAGUGACGGUAAUGGGUAAAGAAGCACCGGCUAACUACGUG